CGUGACCGCAAGAAUCGAUCAAUCGACGUUUCUUCCCUUUGUCGAAUGGCAUCUCGCAGGAUGGACAGGUUGAUCCACCUAACAUACCCGUGGACUCCACCAGUGCUCGAAUCUGGGCCAGAUCUGUGGAAUCUAGAACUCUAAAAUCAGCAACAAAUCGUGUAACCGGAAUGUAUCCUAUCCUAAACUGUAUCCUAUCUCCAUCAAAUCUAAAUUCUCACGUUAUCGUCUACGAUAUGAUUCUGGGAGUGAAACGUUUCCCCCAAGAAGACGCAGACGUUCCCUAAGAAGAACUGUAAUAACAGUAAAAACGCUUGUUAACCAUUUUCGUGCGUGGUUCGAGAAUAGGAGGAAGGGGAAGCGAAACGGGAAAAAACGGUACGUCGAAGAGGCCGCGACUUCCUUGUGAGACGCAGAUCGAUGUUCCACUUAACAACGAGUUCGCGAGUUUGACAGCCAGAGAGACCAUCUGUCACGAAGAAUCUGCACAGGGCAUACCGGUAUCUCGGUUAGUAGAGACACGUCGUGUGUCAGGGAAGCGGUGCGGUUCGUUCAUCGAUAAUGGAUAAACGAGCCGUGGCCGGGAAGGCGCCAUAUACUUAAAGGAUUCUAGAAAGUGAGGUCAAGAGAAGAAGACCUCCUCGCGUGCCCUCUCCUUCGUCUUUUUCAUUCUUGCUGCGUGUGUACACGAAGAACACGCGGAACCUGCUGGCGCUUCUAUUCCUGAUCCUCGAUCGAUUCCAUGUAGCAUUGGCUCGUGUGCCGUACCUCGUACCGUACGUCAUAUACCAUGAAAUUUAUGGCAGCGCCAGGUUAAUGGUUCCGAUGGAUCCUUUCCACGACAGGCAAAAUUAUGUUUAUGUUCGUAUCGAAGUUUGUUCUUCUCGAUCGGCUCGUUGGUACUCUUAGUGCAAGAGUUAUAGCGAGAUUGUAAGAUUGAUCGAGCGUUAAUGUUUUUGUACUUCAAGAAUUGAAACAGUAAUUCGGAAUAUAAGAAUUCGAUCUGAUUCGGGAGACUGUACAGCGUUAAUUUAAAAUUGUCUCUUUCUUCCUAGUAUGUAUAUUGAAACAAAAUUUUUGCUACUUUUUACAGCUACCGUAAAUCAAUCGGUGUGUCUUCCUAAUCCUUUGAUUCACAAUUUUAUUAUAUACUUACUAUCAGAAGUACCAAGAGGACCAUAAGGAUUUUAGAGGCGAUUCGACGUUCACGAAGAAGAGGUAGAAAACUCAGGAUGCGUUGAACGGGUCAAGCUAUGCAAAUUGUAGAUUAAUACGAUCAUGGUGAGCAGUUGAGGCAGUUAAUACGUGGGCGGUACCGUUGCGAUCACUCUAUGUAAUUGAACAGUUAGGGGCGAGAAUGCAGCGAAUCUAGGUCCAUUAAAUGGCACAAUGGUCUAUGUUCCGAGAAACAUGAAGAUUUUUUGCUUAACCUCUCGUCCUAUGACCUUUUAGCGCCUGAGCGAACUACGCUCGCUACAUAUUACAAGAACCUACUUGUUACUUGGAAAGAGUUAAUAGAGUUCUUUUGAGAAGUAUUGAAAAUGUCACGGUACCAAUAUUAAAAGAACAUAUUAUGGAGAAACAGCAACUGAUGGCUGUCUAUAGAUUCCAGCGCCCGUUAAAGUCUCUCCCAAGAGAACCAAACCUAUAAACGACGUUUCCCCAGUCAUGUUGGUGGUACGACGGUUCAUUCACAUAUACCGUAAUCCAGGACAACCUCUUGCCAAUCUAAAGGCAACCUCUGGCAGUUGACCGAGUAGCUCGAGUCGAAGCGUGAUUUCGCGGGUUACACAGAUGGAAUGACGCGGCGAACGUUGAAAGAAGGAAGUAAUUCGGGUCGCACGACCCUUUAUCCCGGUAAGUCCACGUCGAGGCAGGUGCAACACACCGCCUGGGUUACCGUAAGCUGGGUCAACGCACCCAGCAGAGACGCAGAAAGAGAGAGAGAGAGAAAGAGAAAGAGAAAGAGAGAGAGAGAGAGAGAGAGAGGAUCGCACAGUCGCUUCCACGGUAAACUCGUACAACGAUGUCGUUUUCUCCGGAGGCAUCACUGACUCACGCGUUUCCGCCGCGUGUAUAUCCAGUUUCCAUCCUCUCCGCAUCGGCAGUUCUCGCGAGAUUUAUAGACAGAAAGAGAGGAGUUCCGAGAGCCGAGGAGAAGUCGAAGGUCGAGGAAACGUCCAUAAGAUGUACACUUUUUCCUUUCUUCCAUCUGGCGAUUUCUUCUCCGUUUCUGGCUAUGUAUAUUUAAUUAAUGGUGAUCUAGUGUCUCGUUAAUUGCGCUGGCUGUCUUGGCGUACAAGUUAUACCCAUUAGAUUGGCGCAUAUUAAACUUCGUUUUAACACCACUUGGUUUAUUUGAAAUAUUAUACAUUUAAUCGAUAAUUUGCAGAUGAUUCAAUACACUUUCUCAAUAAUAUACCACGUUACGUUAUUUGAAAUUUAUAUAUAAACUGCGGAUAUUUACGCAUUUGUAUAUAGCUAACUCCAUAAAUUGAAAAGCAGGGAAAAUGACGUUACAAACGCUAAUUUUUUAUUUACCUUAAAAUUUACUACUAUUCCAUAUCAUGUUGUUUUGACAAAUAAACUGAUUUGAAAUCUGU